UACGGAGGGUGCGAGCGUUGUCCGGAAUCACUGGGCGUAAAGAGCUCGUAGGCGGUCUGUCGCGUCGGCUGUGAAAACCCGGGGCUCAACCCCGGGCCUGCAGUCGAUACGGGCGGACUAGAGUGCGGUAGGGGAGACUGGAAUUCCUGGUGUAGCGGUGAAAUGCGCAGAUAUCAGGAGGAACACCGGUGGCGAAGGCGGGUCUCUGGGCCGUAACUGACGCUGAGGAGCGAAAGCGUGGGGAGCGAACAGG
rnacentral:rRNA from 1 species